rnacentral:lncRNA from 1 species
UCCUUUCUCCUUCUUCUUCUUCUCCUUUUUCCUUCUUCUUCUUCUCCUUUCUCCUUCUUCUUCUUCUCCUUUCUCCUUCUUCUUCUUCUCCUUUCUCCUUCUUCGUCUUCUCCUUUUCUCCUUUACUAAACAGGAAACUAACCUAACUAAACCUAAACUAAAACUGAACCUAAACUAAACUAAAACUAAGCCAAAACCUCACUAAAACAUAUAACUAAUUAAACAAAAA